GAUGAACGCUGGCGGCGUGCCUAAUACAUGCAAGUCGAGCGAACAGACGAGGAGCUUGCUCCUCUGACGUUAGCGGCGGACGGGUGAGUAACACGUGGAUAACCUACCUAUAAGACUGGGAUAACUUCGGGAAACCGGAGCUAAUACCGGAUAACAUGUUGAACCGCAUGGUUCAACAGUGAAAGACGGUCUUGCUGUCACUUAUAGAUGGGUCCGCGCCGCAUUAGCUAGUUGGUAAGGUAACGGCUUACCAAGGCAACGAUGCGUAGCCGACCUGAGAGGGUGAUCGGCCACACUGGAACUGAGACACGGUCCAGACUCCUACGGGAGGCAGCAGUAGGGAAUCUUCCGCAAUGGGCGAAAGCCUGACGGAGCAACGCCGCGUGAGUGAAGAAGGUCUUCGGAUCGUAAAACUCUGUUAUUAGGGAAGAACAAAUGUGUAAGUAACUAUGCACGUCUUGACGGUACCUAAUCAGAAAGCCACGGCUAACUACGUG
rnacentral:rRNA from 1 species